GGACUACAGGGGUAUCUAAUCCUGUUUGCUCCCCACGCUUUCGUGCCUGAGCGUCAGUGUCAGCCCAGGGGGCUGCCUUCGCCAUCGGUGUUCCUCCGCAUCUCUACGCAUUUCACUGCUACACGCGGAAUUCCACCCCCCUCUGCCACACUCUAGCCAGCCAGUUUCCAAUGCCAUUCCCAAGUUGAGCCCGGGGCUUUCACAUCAGACUUAACCAACCACCUGCGCACGCUUUACGCCCAGUAAUUCCGAUUAACGCUCGCACCCUACGUAUUACCGCGGCUGCUGGCAC
rnacentral:rRNA from 1 species